CAAACAGGGGAUGCCGUCGCUGUCUGAGGUAUUCAGGCAGAGGAACUUCCCGACUCUCCGCCGGAAAAGCCGGCAAGGUUGCCUCACGAAACCGCAAGUGAGGGCAUAGCCGCGAGAGCGCGCUAUGACUACAACCGCAACAGAGAGGAGUCCCGCCCCGAACGGGGUAAGGGGUGAAACGGUAGGGUAAGAGCCUACCAGCAGCGCGUGGUAACACCGCUGGCUGGGCGAGCGUGCAACCGGGAGCAAGGUGAGUGGGCCGGGCUGCCCGCGCAGGCGGGAUGUUCGGUCUCAUCGCAGCGGGGCGGGCGAGGUCGGGUAACACCCGGCAAGCCACAACCCGCCACCCGCGCAGGCGGGUGAGAUAGAUGACGGCACGGAACAGAAUCGGGGGUACCUCCCUGUUUGGAUG
rnacentral:RNase_P_RNA from 1 species